CUGCAACACAACUGAUCCACAGAAAUAGCGCCAUGUUAAAGGGAUUCUUGAUCCAGUUUCUGGAGAUGUUCCAUAAAUAUGCCCAAUCAAUUUUUUGAGCCACAAUUCCAUUGAAGCGUUCUCGUAAACCUUGGCUAGCUGAAGAAGGCACAGAACGUGAUAUUUCAUCUCUUUCCUCUGCAAUCUGCCUGAAUUUAGCCGAUGGAGAAACUAGACUGCCAUCAGAACUAAAUUGCAGUAUAUUUAGUCUCGUAGAGAUUAUUUUCAACUUAUCUUGCUUCCCGAUGCAAGGAUUGUCAUCACCAAGCAGCGCCUUCCGAGAAGUUGAAAUGUUAAGAGUGUCAAAACCAUUUCCAGUCGUUUUCAGAUUGAAAUCUUCCUUAACAUCUGCUACCC
rnacentral:misc_RNA from 1 species